GCGGCCGCGGGUGCUGCCGGGGGGCGCGGCGGGCGCAGCAGAGCGGCGGGCGGCGGCGGCGUCGUCGAGCGACAAUACAAGCGCCUCGGACCGAGUCCCCGAACCUGCCCUAGCCAAAAUGGCGGCCGAGAAAGAGCGGAAGUGACGGUCUCACUCUGUUGUCCAGGCAUGAUCACAGCUCACUGCAGCCUUGACCUCCCAGACUCAAGUGAACCUCCCACCUCAGCCUCCCAAGUAGCUGGGACCACAGGUUAAAGAGGCUUUUGUAUACUGGAGAUAUAACCAAAAAAGGUCUAAGGUGACUUUACGCAGAGAUUGAAGGAUGAGCAGCAGAUGGUCAUCAAGGAGCAUGGAAACAGCAUUUCAGGCAAAGGAAAAUGGAACUCUGUGAACUCAGAAGCAUGCUAUGGCAUGGAAAGCAAAAAGGAAGGAGCACAAGGCAGAGGUCAGAAAGGGAGGCAGGGGCCAACAAACACAUAGGGGCUUGAGGGACAAGGGAAGGAACUUGGAUUUUUCCCUAGAUGUUAGUGGGAACUCCCUGAACUCCCUGAACUGGAGGGACAAUAAUCUGAUUCUGUUUUUAUGUAUCUAGCUUAAACUCAGAACAGCUUCCAAAAUCUUAUUCACAGAGGUUUUGUGGUCUUUUGGGCUAAGAAUUUAAUUAUAUUGCCUACAAACAAAUAUAACUGUGUAUAUUUUACUAACAUUUAACUAAAUUCUUAUCUUACUGUAUUAACAUUUCCAUGUUUAAUGAUAGCUAGCAUGCCUGUAUUAAUGCAUGUAUUGGAAAUGAUUCAGCAUUUCACUAUUUGGUGUGGUAUUUGUAUUAGGACUGGGUUAUUUUUAUUAUGCUUAAGAGGUUUCCUUCUAUUCUUAAAGUUUUAACUAGAAAAUGGUAGUAAAUAAUAUCUCCUUUAGCAUCUACAGACUUAACCACACUACUUUGUUAACAUAAUGAAUGAAUUAUAAGUGAUUACCAAUAAUGAGCCAUUCUGGCAUUCCUGGAAUAAACCCUUUUGUUCACGGUG
rnacentral:lncRNA from 1 species